rnacentral:rRNA from 1 species
CACGUAGGGCGCGAGCGUUGUCCGGAAUUAUUGGGCGUAAAGAGCUCGUAGGCGGCCUGUUGCGUCCGCUGUGAAAGCCCCGGGGCUUAACCCCGGGUCGGCAGUGGAUACGGGCAGGCUAGAGGUGAGGUAGGGGAGAAUGGAAUUCCCGGUGUAGCGGUGAAAUGCGCAGAUAUCGGGAGGAACACCGGUGGCGAAGGCAGCCCCCUGGGAUAACACUGACGCUCAUGCACGAGAGCGUGGGGAGCAAACAGG